rnacentral:rRNA from 1 species
GCUACACGAAGAACCUUACCUGGGUUUGACAUAUAGGUUGUAGGGAACUGAAAGGGAACCGACCCUUCGGGGAGGCCUAUACAGGUGUUGCAUGGCUGUCGUCAGCUCGUGUCGUGAGAUGUUCGGUUAAGUCCGCUAACGAGCGCAACCCUCGUCGUAUGUUAUAUGUGUCAUACGAGACUGCCGGUAAAAAGCCGGAGGAAGGUGAGGAUGAUGUCAAGUCAGCAUGACCUUUAUAUCCAGGGCUACACACACGCUACAAUGGUCUGUACAAUGGGUAGCCAAGCCGCGAGGCGGAGCCAAUCCUGAAAGCAGGCCUCAGUUCAGAUUGCAGUCUGCAACUCGACUGCAUGAAGCCGGAGUUGCUAGUAACCGCAGGUCAGCAAUACUGCGGUGAAUACGUCCCCGGGUCUU